rnacentral:rRNA from 1 species
UGAGCAAUCUGCCCUUCUCAUCGGAAUAAGCGUUGGAAACGACGUCUAAUGCCGAAUACGACCUCCUUUCGCAUGAUCGGAGGUGGAAAGCUUCGGCGGAGAAGGAUGAGCUCGCGGCCUAUCAGCUAGUUGGUGAGGUAAUGGCCCACCAAGGCGACGACGGGUAGCCGGCCUGAGAGGGUGACCGGCCACACUGGGACUGAGACACGGCCCAGACUCCUACGGGAGCAG